UCCAGUUUCCAAAAUGUUGUUUGUUCUCUCUUUAUUCAAAAGGAAAACAUAAUGUCGUUUCUGGUUAACAAAAACAAACCACAUGUCGUUUAAGCGUUCAUUAACGACACGAAUAUUGUCCACUAAACCAAAAGACGAAUUCAAAACCUCGUCGCGGUUUAAGGAGAAAGUGUAGAGAAAGGUUACGUAAUGGCGACGGAAUCGGAGGAAGAAGGGAAGAUGAGAGGAGGAAACGAUAAGCUAACCGUAGGCGACGAUCUGAUCUGAGAGAGAUGGGGAAGAACGCAGCUUGGAGCGUUAGCUCUUGCAAGCCCGGCGACAAUCUCGACACCUAUUGGCAAUCAGAUGGUUUGCAACCACAUGUGAUCAACAUUCAAUUCCAGAAGAGAGUGAGAUUACAGCUGGAAGAGAGCUAUACACCUCACCCAGUAAGAUCUCUAUUCGUGCUGGUGAUGGCUUUCAUAACUUAAAAGGGAUACAUUUGUCAAUACAUUCAUGUUGCAGAUAUCCAUUUUGUCAAAACCACACCUCAACGGGAGAGAUACUCAUAUCCGCCACAUCAAAGUUUACGUCCCUAGACCGUGCGUAUAUCUUUCUCUCCUUCACU